rnacentral:rRNA from 1 species
UAGUCCACGCCGUAAACGAUGAGGACCAAGUGUUGGGGGUGAAACCUCAGUGCUGAAGUUAACGCAGUGAGUCCUCCGCCUGGGGAGUAUGCACGCAAGUGUGAAACUCAAAGGAAUUGACGGGGGCCCGCACAAGUGGUGGAGUAUGUGGUUUAAUUCGAAGCAACGCGAAGAACCUUACCAGGCCUUGACAUGGGAUGCGAAGAUGCAGAGAUGCAUCGGAGGCCAACAUCCACACAGGUGGUGCAUGGUUGUCGUCAGCUCGUGUCGUGAGAUGUUGGGUCAAGUCCCGCAACGAGCGCAACCCUUGUGGCAUGUUGCUAACAGGAAAAGCUGAGGACUCAUGCCAGACUGCCGGUGACAAACCGGAGGAAGGCGGGGAUGACGUCAAAUCAUCAUGCCCCUUAUGGCCUGGGCUACACACGUACUACAAUGGCGGCUACAAAGAGCAGCGAGACAGGGAUGUCGAGCGAAUCUCAUAAAAGCCGUCCCAGUUCGGAUUGGAGGCUGCAACCCGCCUCCAUGAAGUUGGAAUCGCUAGUAAUCGCGGAUCAGCAUGCCGCGGUGAAUACGUUCCCGGGCCUUGUACACACCGCCCGUC